ensembl:lncRNA
GUCCUUAACAAGUGCUUCAUUAAGCUGUUUGAAAAAUGUUCCUUUCUGUUCUCCUUUGAACAGGUUAUGCUUUGCUCUUUUAAGCUAGUUUUUGGCUGCCUCCCCAUACCUGAGAGGAUGGGUGGAGAGGUGGCCAUCUGCUCCGAGAGCGAGAAGCCUUUUUAAUCCACAGCAGCAGGAAAUGUGCUGACAGACAGCACGGUCUCUCCAGCAGGCAAAUCAGCAUCCAUCUCUCGGCUAGCAGUGAUAGAGCAGUGAUGGAGCAGAGGCAGCCCGGCUUGGCAGCACAGCAUGAGGAAGUCAGAGGCAUUCACCUCUACUGCAUGAUGAAAGGCUGGCUUCCAGCUCAUGUGAUGAUAGCCACAAGCACAAGAGAACUGCAGUGAAGUCAGUGCAGAUUUAUGCUAGGCUCAAACUCUGGACCAAAACAUGCAGUCUGUGACACAAAACAGGCUCACCCCUGGGAACGUCAGCGAGAGGUGCCCUGGUGUCACCAGGGAGCAUGGAGACCUCCAUGGCCAACAGGAUGGGCGCUCCCUUGGCAAGUGCUGUUCCUCUGGGCAGUGACAAGGCCGUGAUCCCCAGGGAGCAGAGGUCUGACAGCCACCCACUUACUCCAACUGGGAAAAUGAAACAACACAGAGAAACUGGAGGGAGGGAUGAG